GCUGGUUCCAGCACAUCACUGAGACCACUACACAACUGCCGUGAAGGCUAAAAUGAAAAAGUCUGACCGUACCAAGUGCUGGCUUAGUUGCUAACAUCUAGAAGAAAACAACUUCUGCUCUCUUUCUUCGUCCAAGAGGACAAGACCUCCUGACCAGAAAUCAAGGCACAGCUGAGGCUGACUGAGCAGAUGCUAUUCCCUGCACUGGAAGGGAGGGCCAGCGUCAGGCAUGACCUUUGCUCCUUGGUGCCGCCUCCUUCACCACCCACCGCCAACCUGCUCGCCACCUGGGACCAUUAGCAUUUUUAAGGUUCUUAUUCCCAUACACAUCCUGCCCUGGGAUUGUCUCUUCCUCAAGGUAUUAGCACCUUCCACUUGCCUUUUAUCACCCCAGCCCCGCCUGCCAGGGGUCAGCCUUCAAUCCACAAGCGUCUGGGGAAGAGCCAGGAAGCCUGCUCACACUCCUUUCACAGUUCAUCCCUUUCCGUCGGAGGCAUGUCCUGAGGUCCCGAGCCCCCUCCCACCUUUUCUCCCUUCCCCCCCACGAGAGGUGUUCCCAUAAUCAGUAGGCAUCAGUCGGCUCUAAUCAACCCCCUGUUUUGACUAUUUUAGCAGCAAUAAAAGGGCCAUAAAGAGAAAGUCAGUGGGCCCUCUAGGAGCAUGGAUCUCCUUUGCUGUGAUAUAAUGAAAAACACCAAGUGCUUCCUCAGAGCCCUAAGUGACAGCGUGGCAAGCAAAGCUAUUGGAGGAAGCCUAAUUAUGCUAUAAAUUAAAGGCCUUUUUUUUUUUUACCCAACAUUAUGACCUUUAAUAAGAUUGUUUUUACAACCGGCUGUCAAUAAAUCAUGCAGGAGCACCAGUAAGAAGCAUUCUCUGAGAACUUCUGCGAAUUUCAUUAGCUG